AUUGAACGCUGGCGGCAGGCCUAACACAUGCAAGUCGAACGAGUGGCGGACGGGUGAGUAAUGUCUGGGAAACUGCCUGAUGGAGGGGGAUAACUACUGGAAACGGUUGCUACUACCGCACACCAUCAGAUAUGCCCAGAUGGGAUUAGCUUGUUGGGGGGGUAAAGGCUCACCAAGGCGCCGAUCCCUAUCUGGUCUGAGAGGAUGACCAGUCACACUGGAACUGAGACACGGUCCAGACUCCUACGUGAGGCAGCAGUGGGGAAGAUUGCACAAUGGGCGAAAGCCUGAUGCAGCCAUGCCGCGUGUAUGAAGAAGGCCUUCGGGUUGUAAAGUACUUUCAGCUGGGAGGCGUUACCCGCAGAAUAAGCACCGGCUAACUCCGUGCCAGCAGCCGCGGUAAUUC
rnacentral:rRNA from 1 species